rnacentral:rRNA from 1 species
GACGAACCGAGCGAACGUUGUUCGGAAUCACUGGGCUUAAAGGGUGCGUAGGCGGGCGGCUAAGUCUGUGGUGAAAUCCUGCAGCUCAACUGGAGAACUGCCAUGGAUACUGGUUGUCUCGAGGAACGUAGGGGUAUGCGGAACUAUCGGUGGAGCGGUGAAAUGCGUUGAUAUCGAUAGGAACUCCGGUGGCGAAGGCGGCAUACUGGACGUUUUCUGACGCUGAGGCGCGAAAGCCAGGGGAGCAAACGGG